CGGGCGUUAAGUUGCAGGGUAUAGACCCGAAACCCGGUGAUCUAGCCAUGGGCAGGUUGAAGGUUGGGUAACACUAACUGGAGGACCGAACCGACUAAUGUUGAAAAAUUAGCGGAUGACCUGUGGCUGGGGGUGAAAGGCCAAUCAAACCGGGAGAUAGCUGGUUCUCCCCGAAAGCUAUUUAGGUAGCGCCUCGUGAAUUCAUCUCCGGGGGUAGAGCACUGUUUCGGCUAGGGGGCCAUCCCGGCUUACCAACCCGAUGCAAACUGCGAAUACCGGAGAAUGUUAUCACGGGAGACACACGGCGGGUGCUAACGUCCGUCGUGAAGAGGGAAACAACCCAGACCGCCAGCUAAGGUCCCAAAGUCAUGGUUAAGUGGGAAACGAUGUGGGAAGGCCCAGACAGCCAGGAUGUUGGCUUAGAAGCAGCCAUCAUUUAAAGAAAGCGUAAUAGCUCACUGGUCGAGUCGGCCUGCGCGGAAGAUGUAACGGGGCUAAACCAUGCACCGAAGC
rnacentral:rRNA from 1 species